UAAAUUAUGUAUCGUACUAAAAUAAAUUUUCAAUUUCCCAAGAAAACUAUGAACAGAUUCAAUGACACACAAUCAUUGUAAGUCUAAUAAUAUUCAUAUAUUAUUUUUUACAGAAGAAACUGCAUAAACAACUACAGAACAAAGUACCAUUUAUGAUGUAGAUAUAUGACCAACUAAAAAUAAGAAUAAAACAUGUAGUUUACAGACUUAUGCUUUGAAAUUCAUUAUCUGGUUUCUAAACACGUGACUUAAUUCAGAACCGACUCGUAUAAUGGGUUCCAGGGACAAAUUUCUCUUUGCCAAGGAAAAAUUGGACCAUUAAAUAGUUUAAAGUACUCAAGAAAAGGUGGAGAGUUUGAUUAAAAGAAGUAAUUUUCAUCUUUUUUUGAGUAUGUCCAAAGAUUUAAGUUUACUUCAAAGAAACUUUAAAUGUUAUAUAAGGUAUGUUUCAAAAAAAAAGAAUUAAAAGGGUUAAGUAUAGUUUGUAAGUACAAUAGAAUGUAGUUUAUGAUUUACUAAUAAACCACCUAAGGGUAUUUCCGCAUAAUGUUUUCCGGUGUAAGGGUUAAAUGCAGCAAAACGGGGCUUAUCAUAAUUUAACUA